rnacentral:rRNA from 1 species
GGAAUAUUGCGCAAUGGAGGAAACUCUGACGCAGUGACGCCGCGUAUAGGAAGAAGGUUUUCGGAUUGUAAACUAUUGUCGUUAGGGAAGAAAAAAGACAGUACCUAAGGAGGAAGCCCCGGCUAACUAUGUGCCAGCAGCCGCGGUAAUACAUAGGGGGCAAGCGUUAUCCGGAAUUAUUGGGUGUAAAGGGUGCGUAGACGGGCUUUUAAGUUGGUUGUGAAAUCCCUCGGCUCAACUGAGGAACUGCAACCAAAACUGGAAGUCUUGAGUGUCGGAGAGGAAAGUGGAAUUCCUAGUGUAGCGGUGAAAUGCGUAGAUAUUAGGAGGAACACCAGUGGCGAAGGCGACUUUCUGGACGAUAACUGACGUUGAGGCACGAAAGUGUGGGGAGCAAACA